rnacentral:rRNA from 1 species
CGGCAACGGAUAUCUCGUCUCUCGCAUCGAUGAAGAACGCAGCGAAAUGCGAUACUUGGUGUGAAUUGCAGAAUCCCGUGAACCAUCGAGUCUUUGAACGCAAGUUGCGCCCGAAGCCAUCAGGCCGAGGGCACGCCUGCCUGGGCGUCACACGCCGUUGCCCCC